rnacentral:rRNA from 1 species
AGAGUUUGAUCAUGGCUCAGGAUGAACGCUAGCUACAGGCUUAACACAUGCAAGUCGAGGGGCAGCAUGAAGUUUGCUUGCAAACUUUGAUGGCGACCGGCGCACGGGUGAGUAACGCGUAUCCAACCUGGCCCGCAGUAGGGAACAGCCCGGCGAAAGUCGGAUUAAUGCCCUAUGUCUUCCUUUGCAGGCAUCCAAUGAGGAAGAAAGAUUUAUCGCUGCGGGAUGGGGAUGCGUCUGAUUAGCUUGUCGGCGGGGUAACGGCCCACCGAGGCGACGAUCAGUAGGGGUUCUGAGAGGAAGGUCCCCCACACUGGUACUGAGACACGGACCAGACUCCUACGGGAGGCAGCAGUGAGGAAUAUUGGUCAAUGGGCGAGAGCCUGAACCAGCCAAGUAGCGUGCAGGACGACUGCCCUAUGGGUUGUAAACUGCUUUUAUGCGGGGAUAAACUUCAGCACGUGUGCUGUUUUGCAGGUACCGCAUGAAUAAGGACCGGCUAAUUCCGUGCCAGCAGCCGCGGUAAUACGGAAGGUCCGGGCGUUAUCCGGAUUUAUUGGGUUUAAAGGGAGCGCAGGCGGGUUGUUAAGCGUGACGUGAAAUGUAGGGGCUCAACCUUUGAAUUGCGUCGCGAACUGGCGACCUUGAGUGGGUACGACGCGGACGGAAUUCGUGGUGUAGCGGUGAAAUGCUUAGAUAUCACGAAGAACUCCGAUUGCGAAGGCAGUCCGCGAGUCCCCAACUGACGCUAAAGCUCGAAAGUGCGGGUAUCGAACAGGAUUAGAUACCCUGGUAGUCCGCACGGUAAACGAUGGAUGCCCGCUGUCUGCGAUACACUGUAGGCGGCCAAGGGAAACCGUUAAGCAUCCCACCUGGGGAGUACGCCGGCAACGGUGAAACUCAAAGGAAUUGACGGGGGCCCGCACAAGCGGAGGAACAUGUGGUUUAAUUCGAUGAUACGCGAGGAACCUUACCCGGGCUUGAACUGCAGCAGGAGGAUUCAGAGAUGAUGACGCCCUUCGGGGCUGCUGUGGAGGUGCUGCAUGGUUGUCGUCAGCUCGUGCCGUGAGGUGUCGGCUUAAGUGCCAUAACGAGCGCAACCCCUUCCGUCAGUUGCCAUCACGUAAUGGUGGGCACUCUGUCGGUACUGCCACCGUAAGGUGCGAGGAAGGUGGGGAUGACGUCAAAUCAGCACGGCCCUUACGUCCGGGGCUACACACGUGUUACAAUGGGUGGUACAGAGAGUCAGGCGCCGGCAACGUCGCCUUAAUCAUGAAAGCCAUCCUCAGUUCGGAUUGGGGUCUGCAACCCGACCCCAUGAAGCUGGAUUCGCUAGUAAUCGCGCAUCAGCCAUGGCGCGGUGAAUACGUUCCCGGGCCUUGUACACACCGCCCGUCAAGCCAUGAAAGCCUGGGGCGCCUGAAGUCAGUGGCCUAACCGCAAGGAAGGAGCUGCCGAAGGCAGGUCGGAUGACUGGGGUGAAGUCGUAACAAGGUAGCC